ACAGGCCUGAGCGUCGCACGCUUUGCGUAGAUGAGGGAUGGCGCAGGCGCAGGCCUGCGCGCCACGCGCUUUACGUAGAUGAGGGCUGGCGCAGGCGUAGAUGAGGGCUGGCGCAGGCGCAGGCCUGCGCGCCUCACGCUUUAUGUACAUGAGGGAUGACGCAGGCACAGGAAUUGGCACAACCUGAAGUCAGCUCUGCAGCUUUCCAAGCUUCGUUCUGUGUGUCCUGUACUCAACAGUCAUCUCAUGCUGCAGGGUGGCUGCGUGUGCUCCGUACAUCACACCCAUAUUUCAGGUAGGGACGGUUCCCGGAGGGUGCUCAGCACCAUGCCGACUACUGCUGGCUGGCACGUUCGCACGUGGCCAUGUCAGCUCCAAGGAGGAUGCUGACAUCCUGCUGGCUGGCACGUUCGCACGUGUCCAUGUUAGCUGCGAGGGCCAUGCCGACAUCCUGCUGGCUGGCACUUCCACAGGUGGCCAUGUUAGCUGAGAGGGCGAUGCCAACAUCUUGCUGGCUGGCACGUUUGCACGUGGCCAUGUUAGCUGCGAGGACAAUGCUUCUGCAACUUUCGGUUUCUCCCUUUUCAUCCUCCCACCCUUGACUGUUUUUCCCUGGGAGCAAAUGCCUAAUAAAUUACCUGCACUCAAAUCUUUG
rnacentral:lncRNA from 1 species